AUUCAGCUGACGAGUCCCAAAUUGAAUGAAACAUGUGUCCUGAAU
rnacentral:hammerhead_ribozyme from 1 species